rnacentral:rRNA from 1 species
AAUUAUUGGGCGUAAAGAGCUUGUAGGUGGCUUGUCGCGUCUGCCGUGAAAACCCGAGGCUCAACCUCGGGCNUGCGGUGGGUACGGGCAGGCUAGAGUGUGGUAGGGGAGACUGGAACUCCUGGUGUAGCGGUGAAAUGCGCAGAUAUCAGGAAGAACACCGAUGGCGAAGGCAGGUCUCUGGGCCAUUACUGACACUGAGAAGCGAAAGCAUGGGUAGCGAACAGGAUUAGAUACCCUGGUAGUCCAUGCCGUAAACGUUGGGCACUAGGUGUGGGGGACAUUCCACGUUUUCCGCGCCGUAGCUAACGCAUUAAGUGCCCCGCCUGGGGAGUACGGCCGCAAGGCUAAAACUCAAAGGAAUUGACGGGGGCCCGCACAAGCGGCGGAGCAUGCUGAUUAAUUCGAUGCAACGCGAAGAACCUUACCAAGGCUUGACAUGCACUGGACGGCUGCAGAGAUGUGGCUUUCUUUGGACUGGUGCACAGGUGGUGCAUGGUUGUCGUCAGCUCGUGUCGUGAGAUGUUGGGUUAAGUCCCGCAACGAGCGCAACCCUCGUUCUAUGUUGCCAGCACGUCAUGGUGGGGACUCAUAGGAGACUGCCGGGGUCAACUCGGAGGAAGGUGGGGACGACGUCAAAUCAUCAUGCCCCUUAUGUCUUGGGCUUCAAGCAUGCUACAAUGGUCGGUACAAUGGGUUGCGAAACUGUGAGGUGGAGCGAAUCCCAAAAAGCCGGCCUCAGUUCGGAUUGGGGUCUGCAACUCGACCCCAUGAAGUCGGAGUCGCUAGUAAUCGCAGAUCAGCAACGCUGCGGUGAAUACGUUCCCGGGCCUUGUACACACCGCCCGUCAAGUCACGAAAGUCGGUAACACCCGAAGCCAGUGGCCCAUCCUCGUGAGGGA